GCCCGUGCCAUGGGUGUGGCCGUAGCUGAGGUGCAGCUCGCCGUUGCCCGACUCCUAGCUAAGGUGCAGCUCGAUCGUAGCCUCGCGUACAGCUCUUUCUCCCCUGUUUGUGUUUAUGCCUAAACAUUGAGGUGCUCAUCAGGCAAAGGGGACAGAUAAAAUGCUGGGAGGAUUGGGGCAGGACCGCAGGAGGUAGCAGCAAGCCUUAAGGAGUUGGAGGCACAUUACUACUCAUCAAUUGUCCGUACUCUGCUCUAUGAUUGAGGUGAACAUCUUCUACAAUGGUAUCUUAGCAGCUCUCCUGCUUACUUAAAAAAAAUGUAUUUUCAGUUGAUACAAGUGCAUUGCUGGAGAGAAGAAUUACAAAUCUGCAUCAAUUUGCUUUCUGUACAUGUCUGUCAAGUAAUUGCAUUUACCUAUACUUGCUAACUUACGAAAGCAGGGCUUAUAUAUUCUUUGUACGAAUAACUUAACGAGGGUAUCACUAUCAUCUAUGUUCUAUAAUGACAUAAAGCAAUGAAUAGUCUAAGGAAAAGCCACCUAGUCCAACAAGGAAAUGAUGAACAGUAGUUUAACGAGCGGCCGUGAAGUUCUACGACGGCUAUAUGCAGAGUUCUACUGCGGCUAUACGGUUGCAUAUGGGUGUGUUGCUGAUGUAAAAAUGCAGGUCCUUUCCCAAAAAUCAUCUGUUGCUUCAUGUGUUGCUUGCUGCUGUUCUGCUGGUGGCCGGUCUCCUAUAUAUAGCGAUAUUCCUGUUCAUGUCGGUGGCUAUAGUUUCUCUAUGUUAAAUCACUUGUUCAUCUUGUUUGUUCCAACCACGUUGGAUGCCUAGUACUACUAUCUUGCACUAGCCUAUAUAUGAGCAUCUCAGGCCGUUGUUAAUAGAUGGGAGUAGUACUAAUUGUUUUGAUUAAGAGGCUGGCGCCUCAGAUUAUACUGGAGCGUGUGUUCAUCUUUUUUCUUUUUCUGCUAGGUGCUUUUCCACCCAUCUGAAAUUCCUCCGGCAACACUCCCCAACAGCUUGUUUCCCCAAUGUUGUGGAUCGACAAGGAUGCAACGUGCUUCUCCUGCUCGCUUGGGUCAAUGGGUGAUUUGGCUGCUGAAGUUGACUAGUAAUUAUCUACUAAAAUUUUCAAGGAUAAGCUCGCUUCUACAUUUUCAUAUAUACCAGCUUCUGUUAUUUACAUAUCAGAUGCUCUGACUAAAUCAUCUUGUGUGUUCAGAGACUGCAAAUUCUGCUAUGUACCUUCAGCAGAAUUAGGUGAUGAAAAUGUUGCUCCUCCAAUGGAUUGCUGAUUCCACACUUUUGUCUGCAUUUAUGAAUAAUGCAUAUCCAGUACCAUGCUCUAAUGAUUUUUCAUCAAUUAUACUGCCUAUAUUACAGCAGAAUUAAUGAAGUUCAACUUUGAGAAAGCAAUAAGUCCAGCUGUAUAUGGAAAAACUCUAAAAAGACAACGACCAAAAAUUUUUGUUAGUGAAGUUCAAUUUGGAAAUACAUGAUAGAAAAGGUAUUCUUUAUUUUUUACAAUAAAAAAGUAUUAUGUAUUGUUGGUUUCACCAACUAGUCACUGUUUCACAAUCAUUCUG
rnacentral:lncRNA from 1 species